rnacentral:rRNA from 1 species
UACGUAGGUGGCAAGCGUUGUCCGGAUUUAUUGGGCGUAAAGAGCGUGUAGGCGGCCAGACAGGUCCGUUGUGAAAACUCGAGGCUCAACCUCGAGAUGUCGAUGGAAACCGUCUGGCUAGAGUCCGGAAGAGGAGUGUGGAAUUCCUGGUGUAGCGGUGAAAUGCGCAGAUAUCAGGAAGAACACCUAUGGCGAAGGCAGCACUCUGGGACGGUACUGACGCUGAGACGCGAAAGCGUGGGGAGCAAACAGG